GGAGCCCGAGCCGCCGCGCCGCGCCGCGCCGCCUCCCAGCGGCCGGGGGCUCAAGCCGAGACUCGGGGCGGGAGGGCGGGGGCGCGCGGAGGAACUCCGACAGCGCUCGGCCCGCGGCCUCUUUCCACCCUCUCCCUUCCAGAAAGGAUGCGCCCGCCGAGGACUUCAGCCUUCCCUUCCAAAGGGGAAUCGCUUCUAGAAAGCUUUUCUCAGAAGGAGAGAGACAGAUUAUUCGGUUGGAAAGAGAAGCAAAUCUUAAGAGCAAAACGAGGGAGGAUCAAAGGGUCGGUUCGUGUGAACUGAAGACGGGAGCCUUUCCAGGGGGGCAGGACCUUUUCCGAUCUCGGGCAAGACAUUUUGGAGCCAGUGAGCCAGUGAGGAUCAAAAUCAAGAACACCUAAUACGUGCAGGGUCUUUGCUGGACCUGGGAAAAGAAAAACUGACCAAUGCGAACCAAUGUCUGCUCUUGAACCACGUCACAUACCAACAUUGGUGUCCUUCUCUGGGGGCAAGGGACUGGAUGGCGUAGACCAGUUACUGUAAGAACCGUCGCAGUCACUGUAAGCAGUCGGCGCCCAUUUUAGGCUCUGAGAGCCAUACAGUCUGUCUCCACUACCACCCUGCGGUGGGAAAGCAGCCCCAGACGAUCCCUACAGGAAGGGGCACAGCGGCCCCUGGUAAGACUUGGUCUGUGAAGCAAGCGGCUGCCGGGACUGGCCGUGGGCAGCAGGCUGCGAAGCCCGCUCCCGAGCCCUGACUCAGGCAGGGGCACCGCGCACCCCGGGGCCCAGCGCCGUGGUCGUUCCCGCCGAGUCCUGCCAGAAGCGGGGCGCAGCCAGUGCCUGUGGGCCCCGAGGCCUUUCCCUGGACCGAGCAGGGAACCGAGCAGAGCCGGGGGCCGCGGUCGCAGGUU
ensembl:lncRNA